AGAAGCCGGGCGGGGACCGCGCCCGUUACUCUAAUGAGAAACAGGCUCUACGGGACUGGGGAAAGAAGGGAGGGCUAGCCCGACGGGCCGGAGCUCCGCAGCGGCCGAGGCGGCUUCCCUCCCUCCCCUCGGUCCUCCCUCGGGCCCGCCCAGGGGACCCCCCCCCCAGCCCCCGGGGACCCCAGUGACGUGCGGAGCUGCCCCGGCUCCGAGCCCAGGGCCGCAACACAGGAGGGGCGGGGAGAAGAGGCCAGGCCGGCGGGGAGAGAAGAAUGUGCCGAGGCCGAGCGGGGAGGCGGCCUGUUAACAAAUGGCUUGAAGAUCUUCUCCCAUAGUACCAUCUGAAAAUGAUGACGAAAAUGCCCACCUUUUCAGUAGACAAAGUGACUUUUACAAAUCAGGAAUCUGUCCUAGGCUUGGCUCCUCCGGUAAGUAGAGCCUGAGACAAGAACAGGAUGCAGGUAGUUUAUAGUGAAAAGCAAUCACAAGGAACAGAAAGAGAAGAAUGGAAAAAGUGAAACUGGAAAGAAGAAAAGCCAAUCCAAGGGUGUGCUACAGAACAGGUCACCACUCUGAGCAACUGGAAUAUUAUCCUACUGAGACUGUCUGUAUAGCCAUAGAGAAUGUAAUUGAAGAGAAGAGGCCAGCCUUGUCUCUACUAAAAAUAAAUUUUAAAAGACCGGG